rnacentral:rRNA from 1 species
UACGGAGGGUGCAAGCGUUGCUCGGAAUUAUUGGGCGUAAAGGGCUCGUAGGCGGUUUGUCGCGUCGGGAGUGAAAACCUACAGCUUAACUGUGGGCUUGCUUUCGAUACGGGCAGACUUGAGGCAUGCAGGGGAGAACGGAAUUCCUGGUGUAGCGGUGAAAUGCGCAGAUAUCAGGAGGAACACCGGUGGCGAAGGCGGUUCUCUGGGCAUGUUCUGACGCUGAGGAGCGAAAGUGUGGGGAGCGAACAGG